CUGGAGCAGGCUCUGGCCAGAAAACCGCCCAGUACUGGGACGGGGGCGUGACGCCAGCGGUCGGGCGGAACUACCACUCCCAGCGGGUAGUGCGUCGGGACCAGCCACUCAGGCCGCCAAAGCCCGGCCGUGUGGCCUGCUGGGGGCUGGAGUCUUAACGGCGCGCGCACGUGAAAGAAGGAAGGCGCCGAAGGUGGGAAAGGGUCGGAAAACACACGCGCCUACAAAACCGGUUUGUUAGUAUUUGUAGAUGUAGUUUGGAGAAGUGCGCUUGCUGAGAGAUGGGCUGUGGGAAGGUGCAGAAUGAAGGGGCGGGGAAAAACGGGUGCACAUACACACCCCCACCCACUCAUUCACCGGCGCCCAGGCCCUAGUGCCUGGAGAGGAGAUGUGAAGGGGAGUACCAAAUCCAGCUGGUCUCUGCCUCUGAGGCGGCGCUAGGAAAGACAGUGUUCAACUCUGUAGAGGGGCGGGGGCGCCGCCAAGAGACGCAGCGGAGGGAGCUGGGGGCGGGGCAGGGAAUAACCGCCGUCCCCUGGGCUAAACGUUGGCUGCUUGGGGCGCCGGCGGGGGUCACCCCGAACAGGGCUCGUGCGCAUGCGCGUGCGCCCUUGUGGGUGGUGCGAACGGGUGGGCGUGUGUGAGGCGGGGUGAGAUCGGGGGAGGGCCGGGCUGGUCGUCGCUCCUCCCCGUCCACCCGGUCUGCCCCUCCUGGGCCUUGUGGGCCGGGCAGCCAUUUUGGGAAGACCUUUGUUAUGGUUGUGGGCUCUCCACCUCUGCCGGAUCAGGAAGCUGGGGACUCGCCCUCAGACGCUGCGACUGGUCCCUAACUGUAGCCCCUCCACUGCCCGUGAUAGAUUCCUGUGGCCUUUUAAAUGAUUGAAUAACAAUGAAAAUGGAUCCAAAGUGACUUCUCCGCUGAAGUAGAAGAUUCUUAUUACCUUCCAUUAACUCAAUUUAGUCUUUGGGAACGGGCAGAACAAGUGAAAUACAGAAAACUGAAGAGAAGAAAACCUCACUUUGGAGCUUUCUCCAUGACUGUUCUUAAGCCCUGCCUUUCUACUUGUUUUAGUUUUGCUGUGAAUUUAUAAAUAGUGAAGACCAAAGAAAUAGAAACAUUUGAGAGCUUUAUACCAAGAAAUUUGCCUUGAAAGCUGCUAUUCUUGGAGGGAAAGGCAUAUCAAGUUCCUGUUUUUUGGUUUUUUUUUUAACAAGCUUUCUUAUGUCCGUAGAUUUUGAAGGAUAAGACAAGUAUAAACUCAUACCUGCAGGCUAUUUUUACCAGCUGUGUAAGAAUAAUGAGAUUUAUAAAUUAAGGGCUUUGUAAUGUGGAUGUUUUGCUACUAGAGUUGACUACUCAGAAGAUCUUUUAUAGCUUGUCUGUGUUUUAUUUUUGAUCUGUCACUUCAGUGACAUUAUUUGACCAAACAAAAGUCAUUCUGUCUUUCUAAGCUAUGACCUUGUUAUGAACAGUAUUUGCAUUCACUGUGCAAAUGUCCAUGUAUUAUCUAUUUAAGCAACAUCAUAGUGCCAUCACUCAAGGAAGUUGAAUGAGGUGAACAUUGAUAUAGCUCUUUCCCCUUCCCCCCAUUUUUUAAAUGUAACAAAUACUUUUUAUGUUCCCCUCCCCCUUCCCCUUUCCCCUUCCCCUUUGGGAAACGUGUCAGGAACUAGAUAGUUUAAGAUGAGCAAUUGAGGGGACUGAGAGAUUGAUCCACACAGAGCCUGGAUUCUUUCUGCUUCAUCGUAAGGCAUUCUGCUGGCCAGCCUAAUUAAGUACCCUUUUAACAAGAGAACCUUGUGGAAAUCCAGCUGGCAACUCAAGAAGUUCAGGAAGCAGGACCACAGAGGUUAUACUCUGGGGUAAGUAUCCUCCUAUGUCU
ensembl:lncRNA